GACUCCAUGACCCAAUGGAUAAGGUGUUGGUCUACGAAACUAGAGAUCUUCGGUUUGAUCCCCAGUGGAGUCA
rnacentral:tRNA from 1 species